AGCCUUGUCUCAAUUCCACACACACACAUACCAGCAGCCAAGGAGAGGGUGAGAGAAGGAGAGUGUGAUUAGAGGGAAGUAAAGAAGAAGAAGAAAAGAAAAAAAGAAAAUGAAAAAAAUGGUGCCUUCUAGGGCCAAGAUCCAAUAAACAGGAAAUGAUAAGGGGUUGGCAAUGGGUGACGUUCACAUUAGUGUUGGAAUAAUUUAUACAUAUGAAUGGCAUGAAUUAUGAUGUGAUUAAAACCAAAUGAGUUAAGUCUUGCGCAAGCGGUCUAAGCGAGCCCCUAGGUUGACACAGAUGUAUUCAGACUCUAUGCGGUGGUUUCGGGGUGUAAGCGAGCCCUUUGGUAUGGUAAGUGCAGGGCGUAAGCGAGCCCUAGGCACAAUUUGGGUGUAAGCGAGCCCACUUGUUUGGCUAUCCCUUUUGAGGUCCGUCAAUGUCACUGACCGGUAAAUAACCAGGAGGUGGGCAUAGGUGGUAAGGUCUGCAAAGCAGCAAAAGGGGGAGUUCUGAAUAGUCCGGUGUUCAAUCCUUGUGAUUGGGUAGAAGGAUCUCUUUGGGGGAUUCUAGAUGUCUAGUCUAACUACUAAUUCAUAGACACUUGUUGUAAUAUUGUAUGUUAUGUUACCUAUUUUGUUCUGUGUA